AGUGCUCUACCACGAGUGUAGGAUCUGUUCUUAAUCAGUUUAAUAUCUGAUAUAUCCUCGCUGUGAGGACGCUGCAUUGAGCGGCUUUUUGGAGUAGGGAGGGGGGUUGGGAGCUUGCUCCGUCCCCUCCACGCAUCGGCCUGGUAUUGCAGUGCUUCCAGGAAUUUUUUUUUCAGU
rnacentral:snRNA from 1 species